ensembl:lncRNA
UUUUGUUUUCACAAAUACUUAAACAAGGAACCUGUUUUCUUGGAAGUUUUUCCCACAGACUAUUGAGGGGGUUGACUGUGUGGAUACCCUGUGGGGCUGCCAGGCCAAACCCCACGUCGCUCUGUGGCCACCGAGCGACCACUGGAGCGGGACAGCAGAGCACAGCCAUCCCGAGGGCCUUAGGAAAGCCAGGGCCCCUGUCUGGGCUCAGCUGUGCAGCACCUGGAAGAAAGUCAAGACAGCUGAUUCCACGAGGUGCCUGAACAGGCAUCCUAGCCUUCCACAUUCCCUCAGCCUGUUAUCCAGUGCUGCCAGCUACAGACACCAUCUGUAGUCUCAAGGAGCUAAGUCUGGCUCAGGGUACACACAAGUGAACAGGCGAUCACAACUCAGAGGCGUCAGUGUCUUGAUGGAGGAAGCACAGGCUGUGAUGAUGCAAACUCCUCGACCCAAGUACAGGGUGAACCCAGUCAAGCCUGUAGUAACUGGACAUACUGGUCGACUGCGUCUUACCUGCUUUGGCGCUCCUAGCCAUUCUUCCACACCUUGGCUCAUCUCCCCUUUAAAAGGAGCUUAGGAGCUGGUCCCAUGGCCAAAUGGUGAAGUUCGUGCGCUCUGCUGCAGCGGCCCAGGAUUUCUCCACCUCGGAUCCUGGGUGCAGACAUGGCACCGCUCAUCAAGCCAUGCUGAGGUGGCAUCCCACAUGCCACAACUAGAAGGACCUGCAACUAAAAAUAUGCUGUGUACCAGGGGGGUUUGGGGGGGGGGUAAAAGUUUUUUUAAAAAUCUAAAAAAAAAAGCAGCUUAAAUUUCACCAAGGCACAUGGUUGCUGUAAGGCUUGAGGCGUGCACUGGCUGAUAAACAUGACUGUGUUACUCAUCUGGGGUUAAGAGACACAAAACGCCCUUCCUACCUCCAAGUGGAGGCUGCAAAGCAUCAGUCAAGAAACAACCCCUGUCGUGUCACCAGCAGCUCAUGCCAGUUUCAUCUCCCUGCCUUGGCAUGCGAAGAACUACACGUGUAGAGCAAUUAGCAUUUAAUAUUUGGUAAUUAGCAUGCUUAAUAUGAUUCAGAGAAGUUACUUGACAUUUUCGUAAAAACAGAAAGCACAUUCUCGCCCUUCAAGGAGCAAGGCCCAGUUUGUCAAAAAACUGCAUGCCAGUCUUUUUUGGUGCUGAAUAUGCAUGUGUUGGCCUCUUCUGGGACACUGCUGGUAAAUUUAGAAACUCGUUUAGAAGAGAACUCCUUCUUAUUCAGCAGCCAUAAUACCCUCUUGGAUCAGAGACUCUAAGCGAAAAUGGCUAAACCGAGCUUCAGUCUCGGGGCUGUGAUGGUCCUUUUCAAGUAAAUGAAAACCUUCCGUGCGCCCCCGACAAACCACACACUGUUCAAGUCCAACAAGGAGCCAAAUGUGGGGCCGCGGCGAGAGAUACAGUCUACCCCAUCGCUCCAGCGCAACAACGUAACUCUUCGCCCGACAAUGUAGCCGCCGGCUCCCGUUUCUCCAGCCCAAAGGCUCGAGCCGGCGUUCCGCACGUCCCACGCUCGGAAACUUCGCACCGAGGCCGAGACGUCAACUCAACUUUCCCGUCCCGAGUCGGGCACCCUUUCGCUCCCUCUCUGCGGCCCUCGGUGCCUCCCGGAUCCCUGGGAGGGGGCAGGGGCGCUGGGGCUUCACCGCCCGGUCGGCGCGGGGCCGGACGAAGGACCCGG